rnacentral:rRNA from 1 species
GAUGAACGCUGGCGGCGUGCCUAAUACAUGCAAGUCGAGCGAACAGACGAGGAGCUUGCUCCUUCGACGUUAGCGGCGGACGGGUGAGUAACACGUAGGUAACCUACCUAUAAGACUGGGAUAACUUCGGGAAACCGGAGCUAAUACCGGAUAAUAUUUCGAACCGCAUGGUUCGAUAGUGAAAGAUGGCUUUGCUAUCACUUAUAGAUGGACCUGCGCCGUAUUAGCUAGUUGGUAAGGUAACGGCUUACCAAGGCAACGAUACGUAGCCGACCUGAGAGGGUGAUCGGCCACACUGGAUCUGAGACACGGUCCAGACUCCUACGGGAGGCAGCAGUAGGGAAUCUUCCGCAAUGGGCGAAAGCCUGACGGAGCAACGCCGCGUGAGUGAUGAAGGUCUUCGGAUCGUAAAACUCUGUUAUUAGGGAAGAACAAACGUGUAAGUAACUGUGCACGUCUUGACGGUACCUAAUCAGAAAGCCACGGCUAACUACGUG